rnacentral:rRNA from 1 species
UACGUAGGGUGCGAGCGUUGUCCGGAAUUACUGGGCGUAAAGAGCUCGUAGGCGGUUUGUCGCGUCGUCUGUGAAAACUCGCAGCUCAACUGUGGGCGUGCAGGCGAUACGGGCAGACUUGAGUACUGCAGGGGAGACUGGAAUUCCUGGUGUAGCGGUGAAAUGCGCAGAUAUCAGGAGGAACACCGGUGGCGAAGGCGGGUCUCUGGGCAGUAACUGACGCUGAGGCGCGAAAGCGUGGGGAGCAAACAGG